UUCAACAUCUUGUAAAUUAUAAACCUGCCC
rnacentral:piRNA from 2 species